GUCAAGCUACAAGGCUCCACCGGCGGAUUACCUUGUCCCACACAAGGCGAUGAAAGGAACAGUGUUACCUUGGCGGUAAGUCUCGGGGAGCUUGGGAAAACACGCUUUAUUCGGAAUUC
rnacentral:rRNA from 1 species